CAUUGGGAUUACGUAACGAAUCGGGCACUACAUUGGGUCCCGAGACGGGGUCGUCGGCGGAGGGAGCGGGGACAUUGGAGAGAGACGAGACUGGAUCUUGUCUAGACCGAGUGGAGAGUAGGGGUGGGAUUGGAGGUGCCAGGAAGAAGACGGUCAGCGGUACCGCAGAGCGACGGUCCGGCCACGAAGGAAGGGCGGGGCCCCUCGGGGCUCUCGACGAGGCAGACAAGAGGUCCGCGUGGAAGGACCGGCACCUGCGUGCGAAGGUAACUUAAUUGGUACAGCGAGCGGCCAGCCGCCCGGUUCUCUAAAUGGACCAUCGAGCGAGAGCAGAGGUACCACCGGCCGUUCGCGAGUGCCGCCAGGGAGAGCAGCAGCCAGCUCCCGCGGAGACCAGCUGCCGGUCUUCACGUACCGACCGUACCAAAAACAGUAGGUCGUGGCAGAUCCAGGAACUCAUAUGUAUCCUAAGGUAUCGAUACGUCUAAACUGUGUGGGCAGGUAGGUAGGUACUACGAGACGUGUUGUCUAUCCGGGGUACGUUACGAGUUGUGGCCUCACAACACUUGAAUUAACCUUCGUCUUAGCUAUGUUCAGGCGCCAUGUUAUAACCUAACUCGCACGUGAAGGAUGAACCGUAGUCCGACUGUUAUUAUAUGCGGUACUGGAACAUGAAAGACAGAAAACCAACCGUCCUUAUUUUGUUUCCAAACGGAUGUGGUGACUACUACGGCGGCGGCGGUGAAGCCGAUAGCGUUCUGGUAAAACAGGCGGCGAUGUAGUCCGCGUUCUAUGAAAGCCGGCGGCGACGGAGUUCCAACCCAACGGUACAUAUAUAGUCGUUCUUUACCCGGCCUCCUUCUUUGCUUCGUUCGGGUCGUCCGACGGGUAAACAGGGUCGGGCGUCGUGUUCGUCUACGUGCGGGCGUAGGGCGUCGGGGCGUAACGAGGGCAGGGGAAACCAUAGGUAAGGCGUGGUUUUGGAUCUACGUGCGGCGUGGUCGGCGGAGGCCGGCCUGCGGCGCGGGAAGGAGUCAUCCGGCGGUUGAGAUCGGCGGGAAGGACGAUCACCGACGCGCGGACGCGGGACGACGAAGGUGCGGCCGCGGCCGGUGCCGCUGGUCAGAAUUCGCCGGUCGCGGGUCGCCGUCGUCGAAGCGGCUGCCGGCCGCCACACGUCCGCACGUGCGACGCGACCCCAGACCUCUGCACGUCGUAUCGUUCGAUCGUCGACCCUCGACUCGUCGUCGGACGUUGGUGAAACAAACCGGCUAAACAGGUCUCGGAGUUCUCGGAUUCGUAGAGUACCGCUUGUAUGUAGGACUGAAGUUCUUCUUCUACCGAGCACGUCACCCGUAUCAAUUGAACCUUGAUAGGCUGGGAAGACUUCAAGACGAGGUUCUACACCAGUUCCACAACCACCUGUCUUGGUGACCACAACACUACGUUUUUCGUAAGGCGUAGAACCGGAGGGGUGAGGGCCAGCUAAUAUACCUGUUCGGUUAGCGUUCUGAGAAGGGGUUAGGACUACUAAUAAAACGGAGCUAGCCCGAACUAAGUUGUUAACCAAGUGGUAAGUGAUAGGGGACCAGGCUCAGAAGAAACUUGCUACUACAAGGCAUAUAAUAUGUACGAGCAAUGGUGGCCAACCGACCGGUAAAUCACGAGGAACGAAGGAAUGGUUGUCUACCGCAACUCUUACGAAGUUCUCGGCGUGUCAAGUUUUUGGUACAGGAACUUCUCGACACAGUAGACCGAUAGUUCUCGAGGUGCUUGGUACAACUAAGUAACAAGGAAGGAGUAGGUUAAAUACAUACCCACCAAGCCCUCUAACUUCUUGAAGUACGUUUCUUCGUUCGACGUAACCCCCCGCCACCGAGGGUGGUUCCUUUCGCGUAGUUCAAAGUCUAAGUUGUAGAACUCCCGAAGAACUGGUUGCCGUUGGACUUCAUACCAACCUUCGAGAAGACGACGUUCGUCCAAUACAGCUUCAGAGACCUUCCUGAGCUCCUUCAACAACUCUUCGAGCUUGUCGUCCUGCUUUUGGACUUCCUCCACAUGGCUUAGGAACGGGUACUCGAAGGCCGUCUCAAGUACUCGGUUGGGUAACCACUGGAAGAGGGAGUAUGGUAGAACGACCCGGAGGGCGACCUGUACCUGUUCGGCCACUCACAUUUUAAACCAGGUAUUAAGACAACCAGAACGGACUACAAGCGACAACACAAUAGGACGCCAAAGAACGAUAGAAAGACUAAGGUAAACUAGACGAAAACCGUGUACAAAAUACCAACGACUAACUACAUUUUGAACUAUCGAGAUCGUAGAGUUAAGACAUACGACAUGACACAAAAAUGCAGACUUUACGAACACAAGGAGUUUGCAAACUUGACUAAAACACAUAUGAAGACAUAAACUUCACGAUUGAAACGGACCACCGGACAUCUCCAGUACUGUGAUCACAUUAGUUAAAAAAACUCUUCUACACACCUCAGGUUAUACAACUAUAGUAGAUCACAUGUGUUAUAGUAGAUCACAUGUGUUACUACAACUCGUCGAGUUCUUUUUGGAUAGGUUCUACCUACGGUCACCGCUAGUUGAGUUUGUUGCAGUUGCACAAUAUCUUCUCGCACUUUUAUAAUAGAUGGCGUGUUAGCUGAUGAAACUAUCGUCGAACACUUGGGAAAACAAGCGACUGUAGAACACGUACGAAUGCGACACUGUAGAAUACGCACGAAUGUGAGAACACCACCUACAAGGAUAAACCAAGACGAUAGAAGUAGUUUGUAUAUAUUUCUUUGACGAAUCGAUACGUUGUUCGAUUGUAAGGUACAAGAGAGAGUGGG
rnacentral:rRNA from 1 species